UUUUUCGAUGCUUGGUGAUGACUUGGAAAUAUCUGCCCUUCACCUCUUAGCCACCUUGAUUUCUAGUGGAGUGUAUGGAUAUGAAAUCCUCUUUGAUGGAAUGACACCCCUCUUAGAUAUCAUUUCCUUUACCGAAGCAGUUAGUGCAUUAAUAGCAUUAAUCACUCCAUCAUGUUUCGCCUUACAGUCUUGACAUUUGCAUGCAGAACAUUAGCUAGAUGUGGCAAAAUCUAGAGAAAAAUCUGUACAACUAGUAUGAUCAUAAUCAUAAUGGCUUAUUAUUUCAAAAAUUGUAAGAGGAGCAUCAUUAGCC
rnacentral:lncRNA from 1 species